rnacentral:rRNA from 1 species
GAUGAACGCUGGCGGCGUGCCUAAUACAUGCGAGUCGAGCGAACGGACGAGAAUCUUGCUUCUCUGAUGUUAGCGGCGGACGGGUGAGUAACACGUGGAUAACCUACCUAUAAGACUUGGAUAACUUCGGGAAACCGGAGCUACUACCGGAUGAUAUUUUGAACCGGUUGGUUCAAGAGUGAAUGACGGUCUUGCGGUCACGUAUAGAUGGAUCCGCGCUGCAUUAGCUAGUUGGUAAGGUAACGGCUUACCAGGGCAACGAUGCAUAGCCGACCUCAGGGGGUGAUCGGCCACACUGGAAGUGAACCACGGUCCAGACUCCUAAGGGAGGCAGCAGUAGGGAAUCUUACGCAAUGGGCGAAAGCCUGACGGAGCAACGCCGCGUGAGUGAUGAAGGUCUUCGGAUCGUAAAACUCUGUUAUUAGGGAAGAACAUAUGUGUACGUAACUGUGCACAUAUUGACGGUACCUAAUCAGAAAGCCACGGCUAACUACGUG